UGAGUGUUUUCACCAUGACCUGGACUCUACUAUUCCUUGCCUUCCUUCAUCACUUAACAGGGUCAUGUGCCCAGGUUGUGCUUACUCAGCCAAACUCAGUGUCUACGUCUCUAGGAAGCACAGUCAAACUGUCUUGCAAGCGCAGCACUGGUAACAUUGGAAGCUACUAUGUGCACUGGUACCAGCAGCAUGACGGAAGAUCUCCCACCACUAUGAUUUAUAAGUAUGAUAAGAGACCAGAUGGAGUUCCUGAUAGGUUCUCUGGGUCCACUGACAGCUCUUCCAACUCAGCCUUCCUGACAAUCAAUAAUGUGCAAACUGAAGAUGAAGCUAUCUACUACUGUCAUUCUUUUGAUAGUAGUAAUAAUCACAGUGAUGUGAACCGUAGAGGAAGUAUCAACUAA